rnacentral:lncRNA from 1 species
GAUUAUACAGUUGAUAUUUAAACAAAAAAAAACAAUAUACAGUUGUUAUUUAUAUCAAGAAUAUUCCAUUAUCUGUCUUUAAUGAUGUUAGUUGUCCUUUUUAAUACUUUUCAUGAUGUACAUAUUAUAUUGCAUUUAUUUGUAUUUUUAUUGCUAUAACAACAGUUAAAAUAAUACUGUAUAUUUGAUACAAUGGCUCUUGCUAUAUUGAAACCUUUCAAAUCUUCAUAUAUCUAUAUUAAUUAUAUAAAAAC